AUUGAACGCUGGCGGCAGGCCUAACACAUGCAAGUCGAGCGGAUGAGAAGAGCUUGCUCUUCGAUUCAGCGGCGGACGGGUGAGUAAUGCCUAGGAAUCUGCCUGGUAGUGGGGGACAACGUUUCGAAAGGAACGCUAAUACCGCAUACGGCCUACGGGAGAAAGCAGGGGACCUUCGGGCCUUGCGCUAUCAGAUGAGCCUAGGUCGGAUUAGCUAGUUGGUGGGGUAAAGGCUCACCAAGGCGACGAUCCGUAACUGGUCUGAGAGGAGGCACAGUCCCACUGGACCGCAGCCUCGGUUCAGACUCCUACGGGAGGCACGAGUGGGGAAUAUUGGACAAUGGGCGAAAGCCUGAUCCCGCCAUGCCCCGUGUGUGAAUAAGGUCUUCGGAUUGUAAAGCACUUUAAGUUUGGAGGAAGAGCAGUAAGUUCAUACCUUGCUGUUUUGACGUUACCAACAGAAUCAGCACCGGCUCACUUCGUGCCAGCCGCCGCGGUAC
rnacentral:rRNA from 1 species